UACAGAGGUCUCAAGCGUUUGUUCGGAUUCAUUGGGCGUAAAGGGUGCGUAGGCGGCGCGGUAAGUCGGGUGUGAAAUCUCGGAGCUUAACUCCGAAACUGCAUUCGAUACUGCCGUGCUUGAGGACUGGAGAGGAGACUGGAAUUUACGGUGUAGCGGUGAAAUGCGUAGAUAUCGUAAGGAAGACCAGUGGCGAAGGCGGGUCUCUGGACAGUUCCUGACACUGAGACACGAAGGCCAGGGGAGCAAACGGG
rnacentral:rRNA from 1 species